GAUACAAGCAGCCGAAAUGGGUUUCCUUCGCAGGGUGGUCGGGCUCAGCCUUAGAGAUAGGGUAAGGAGCUCGGACUCUCGGGAGGCGCUCAGAGUAGAACCGCUGCUCCUCCACGUUGAGAGGAGUCAGCUGAGGUGGCUCGGGCAUCUGGUUAGGAUGCCUCCCGUUAGAGGUGUUCCAGACAUGUCCCACUGGGAGGAGACCUCGUGGCCGGCCCAGGACCAGGUGGAGGGAUCAUAUCUCUCGCCUGGCCUGGGAGCACCUGGGAAUCCCCCCCGGAGGAGCUGGUGGAAGUAGCUGGGGUGAGGGCCGUCUGGGAUUCCCUCCUGAAGCUGCUGCCCCCCCGACCCGGACCCGGAUGAAGCGGAGCGACGAUGACGACUGGGACUGACACCAAGCUCUCCUUUGCGUGCACUCUCCAGUAUCUGCAGAAACAGACACACACACAUACAUCACUAAAGAGUUUUUCAGUUCUCAUGACUGCUUAACCUGAACAGAUAUUCACAGAGUCUGAACAGUACCUGAUGCAUGUGCAGGACAUAAUAUAACCAUAUAAUCCAGGAUGUCAUUAGAUCCUGUCCUAGACUGUCAAUGAGUUUUGAGGAAGUAUUGAAGUUGAUGAAGCUGUGCUUCAUGUGUAAAUCUUCAUGUAUGAUUCAGUUGAAUAAGCAGUGUUGCCAGAUCUCCCGAGAGAAACAAGCAACCAGCCCUAUGAAAACAAGCCCAAAAUAAGCCCAACAGGCAACCAGUCACAAUGUGUAAAACAGGGGCCCCUUGUUAUUGAUAAAAAUAUAUACAAUUAUUAUUACAUUAUGCAUAAGUGAUGGCAAAAUUAAAAUAAACGGUGAACAAAAAAAAAUUUGGAUAACUUCAAUUCUUUGAGUAACUUAAAAUACCCCCCCGCCCCCCAAGGGAGGGGGAGUCUUCCUCGGGGUGUCUGCAUGUGUGUGUGUGUGUUUAUGAUGCACACCCGCUACCUCUUGAGAAGACUAACAUCGAUACCUGCUUUUACGUCAGAGUCUCCAAACUCCAGAAAAAGUCGCUACACGCUUUUGAAGAAAAAAACUGCCAGGAGGUCUGAAAAGUCUCUUAAUCUAGUGACAAAGUUAUCGGGUUGGCAACACUGUUUCUCUGUCACUCUCAGAUCUCGAGCGGACUACCUACCCCACCAGCGCUUUGCUUUUGUGGGGAGUUGUGAGAUAACCAGGGGGGAUUCGCGCAGUUGAAAAGGAAACCCAAAAAAACGCAACCUGUGACCUACAAGUUUUACAAGCGACUUCUAAGAAAAACAAGUCCAAAGUCGCUUAUAAUAAGUGGACAUGACAACUAUGCCGGAAUGUCCCCUUGGAUUCUACUGGUCAGUGCGAUUGUUCCGGUGAAUUGGACAUCACUUCAUUCAUACAUUUAGAGCUAGAAGAAGAGGAGUUAAAUGUCUCAGCUUGAGACAGAAAUCUGUACAUAGGACAUCCCUCCUGUACAUAGAAGUAUGUCAUGACAGCUCUUAAAGGGAACGAGAGCAGACACUGAUUGGUUUGAUUCACGUUACGACCUAAACCUUUGAAUAAUGGAGGAACUGCACCCUGCGCCUAACUUUUUACCCGGAUCUUAAAUUGUAACUACCUAGAAGUGGUUUCAGUUUGUGCUUUAGAUCUUUUGAUUUUACUUGUAUAUGUUUUGUUUUUAUUAAUAAAGCAAUAAUGAGACUAAAAUGUGAGGGCGGACUGUCAGUCAUACUAAAUUCAUGUCAUUUUUCCCUUGUGCACCUAAUUUACCUUUCAAAACAGGGAUUGGUGCAUCUGAGCUGAGUUAACUGAGGGGUGCAGGUUUUCCACGGGUCUUAAUCCUCUCUGCCUCCGUGCGUCUCAAUCGUUUUCAUUCACAAACUAAAGAGAGAUUCAAUCGUGAGUGGAACAAACUCACAGAAACACUCUUUGUCUCAUUCUGUCUCUACAGAUUUUUUUUUUCUCUCUGGUUUGUUUUCAGCUACCAUGUGAUUGAGGCCUUUCAGAGAUCUUCAGCUCUCAGGACAUUGAUUUCAGCUUCUGGGACACAAACAAAAGCAAUUUUCCUUUAGUUUGGAAGAAAAUGUGACCAGCUAAUACUCUGUGUUUCUCUGGGGAGUUGUGUGAAUUACAGAUGAUGAGAGCAUCAGUUUAGGCUGCAGUUUGAGCUGGAUAAAGGCUUGAUUUUUUCUUGUCAGUGUUUUCUAUGCAGACCUUUCGUUGUUCACAACUUUCACCAAAAAGAUCAAAUUGUUGUUUCUGUUCACCACUCCUCUCAUGAGAUCUGUCAAAUUUGAUUUACUAAUGUCACAACAGCAGAGUCAAUCAGAUCAUAUUUAGGAGUAUCUGUGGGUUUCUUGAGGUCCUUACACACCGGGGCCGCCACGAAUAUAGAACGCGAAAUCAUGAAACAUUCGUAGGUGAAUUUUGACGCGCCUGACUAUACACAUCAAGCCCAAUGCGAUUUUGCGACUUUCCAGGGGGAAAAAGAUGCAUCCUGGGGAAGACUUUUCCGGGGGAAAGUCCUGUCUCCUUUGCCUCUUAUUGGCUUGAAAAGCUGGAAACGUCAUCAAGCCAAACGGUCAGCACUUAUAGCCAAUCAGAAGCAAAGGAGGGCGGGAGGUAGAGUCUACCUCAACUUCAAGUCAUGGCGAAUUGGUACUCCUUUUGCUUUCCAAAAAGAAAAAGAAACGUAGCACAUGGAUGCAUCCAAUAUUACAAAAAAGAAGAGAACUUGGUGAGUUUCACUGCUUGGUCCAGGAGCUGAAACUGUACCACGGUCAACGUUUAGCAAAUUGUCAAAGCACACAAACCAUCCUCAUAUCAGAAAUCCGAUGCUAUGACUCACCACAAGUUGUCCUUCAGGUUGUUAUCUUUGUAAUGUGUGUGUAAAUGAUCAUAAACAAUCAGCCGGUCGGCCAUGUUGGAUAUACUGGUGAAUCUGAUGUCGCAACAACACGCAAUCUGAAUAGUCAGAAGUGGACACUCAGUCUGCGAAACUUUAGAAAAAUCAACCUUGAUCCGAAAAAAUAAAUGCCGUAAUAUUGCAGGACAGGAAAAUGUCGCUGAUGUGAACGCUUGUAUUGACAGGAUACGGGUUUGAAAAAAAAAAUCGACGUCCGAAAUAAUCGCACUACAAAAACACUCCCGGUGUGUAAGGACCUUUAGACACAUGUGAUGCUCAAAACAUCUACAACAGUUUAUACAACCUGCGUUAUGAAAAACUUGCUGCAAAGACUUGAAUACAGAAGAACAAAUGUCAAGAACAAGAUAAAGGUGAGUGGAUUUUAAUCCUAAUCUGCUGUUACUGCUGUGCACAGAAACUCUGAGAGACUCUAGGUCCAGGAUGCGGAAACCUUGAACCUCAGUGUUUGCACCGAUAACACAAAGAGCAGCACGUCUGGGGGGGGAGAAACUGAGCUGAGCACAGUGAGACUGGACUCUGAAGGUGACUCAUCCCUGCAUCCUUCAUUUAACUUGUCUCUUUUAAUUAGCGCUCCUCAGGUUUGUUGACUGAGUUGUGGAUGAGUGAAAGUUAAUAGACAAGUCAUUAUCCCUGUCAGCUCUGAUACUUCCCUCUGUGAUAACAUGCUCUCACAGUCUGACGUAAUCCCUGAUAUGAACACCAGCAAAAUGACUGAACAGCGUCCUGACUGACAGGAGAGUGGCUUCAUUUACAAAAACACAGAUUAGACUGAACAUCAGGCAGCAGGAAAAAAAAAAAAAACAACACGUCCCUGUGAAUGUAUCCUUGAUGUUUUAAUUCAAUCUCAAACCCUGACAGCUGUGAAAGGAACAUUUAAACAUUUUUACAGUCUGAUAUAUAUUAGUACAGACCUGUUCACAGCAGCGGAAAAAGCAUUGGAGUGCAUGUUUGAUGCACAGAGGGGUGUGGUCUUAUGAUAUCAUUUACACUCUUAAAAACAUUGGGUUAAAAACAACCCAAUUUGGGUAGUUUGAUUAAAUAUUUGACAGAACACAUGCUGGGUUAAGUUUAUCCAACUAAUUGGGUUGGUUCAUUUACCCAAAAAUUGGAUUGUUUAUAUAACCAAACGAAGAGUUCACAAUAACUACUUUGCUGGGUUCUUUAAACCAAGAAUGUUGGGUUGUUAAUAUCUGAUAUAAUAUUACAAAACCCAAUUCAAUUGAAGUUGGGAAAUUGUGAUAAAUGUUAAUAAAAACAGAAUACAAUGAUUUGCAAAUACACUGAUUUGAAUACACUACAAAGACAAGAUGUUUAAUGUUCAAUCUCAUAAACUUUAUUUUUGUUUUUGCAAAUACUAAUUAACUCAGAAUUUCAUGGCUGCAACACAUGCCAAAGUAGUUGGGACAGGGGCAUGUUUACCACCGUGAACCACCAACAGGUUCAACCUUGUGGUUGGGUUGAAAAGACAACCCAACAUUUUUUUGUGUGUAUGCAAGGUAGAUUCUUCUUAAGUCAAUACAGUGCUGGUGGCUUUAAUGCUGUGGUUUUGGUGAGAUGGAGUGAUUGAAGCGAGAGAAGGAGACACACUGACUAUUUCCUGUCCUAUGAGUUUACAGCUGUUUACAGGUUAGUACAUGUCAAAAAUCACACAUAUGGUCCAUAUGAUGUCUAAACCAUGAAGAAGUAAUGUUGUCUUGAGGUGUUUCAUUUUUAAAGUCGGAAAUUCCAAGAUGCCUCUCCGGUACAUCACCCAAACUGUUUAGAUAAUGGCUUCUUAGUUUGAGGUUAAGUGCGUAAUGUGAACUCGGCCAGCUAAGGGACUGUUUAGGAAAGAUAGAAAUGAUAGAAACAGUUCAGACUCAAAAGAAACUGCAGCAGAGGCACAGCUUUGACUCAAAGACUGAGGAACAGUUCUGUUUUUGUUUUUUUCCACACUAAAGACUUGUUAAUGAAAAAAUACAGAUUGAACCAGAGCUUUGUUUGUUGAUUGUGUCUGUGUGAUGAAUAUCAAACAGCAUGUGUGUAAUUUAUGGCAUUAUUUAAAGUGUUUAUUUGAAGGCCUCUUCAUUAAUGAUAUAAACAGUCUGUUAAUGCACUCUGUGUCUGAACCCACAGAGUAGUUACAUAACCCCCAUCAGUCAUCAGUGUUCAGGCACUGAGCCUACGUGCAUUACUGAAUAAAGUGCACCAAUAAUAUUUACUAUUCAUCUUAAUGGUUUAUUCCACAUGUAACUGAAGGACCAAUCAGAGUGCAGGAAGAGUCUAAUGUCAGAGACACAGCAAGGAGGAAGUGUGACGGAGGCAGAGAGUGUGGAGGCAGGUGUUCAAAUAUUAAAAAUUCAAAUCAAAAUCAAAAAUUAAUGUGUCAACAAUCAUCAACAAAAUCAGAGUUAUAAUUCAAACUGUAAGUGAAAACCUUGUUCAAAAAAAUGAAAGGCUAUCCUGCCCAGUCAAAACCAUGUCCCAGGGCCGUGGCCAGGACAGUCAGUCUAAAGGUCCUUUCACACUGGGACCGUUUUCUUUCUUGUGAUUAUUUCGGACGUCUAUAUAUUUUUUCGAAACCGUAUCCUGAUGCCACUCGGAUACGCCUGUCAAUCUCCCAUUCCAUCCUACCCUCACUCGUGAACAAGAUCCCAAGAUACUUGAACUCCUCCACUUGAGGCAGGACCACCCUGGCAAUCUACCUUUUUCCGACUGAGGACCAUGGCCUUGGACUUGGAGGUGCUGAUUCGCAUCCCAGCUGCUUCACACUCGGCCGCGAACCACCCCAGCAAGAGCUGAAGGUCACUGCUCAACACAGCUAGAAGUACCACAUUAUCCACAAAACGCAGCAACGUGAUCCUCUGCCUGCCUAACUGGACACCCUCCAACCCCCGGCUGUGCCUAGAAAUUCUGUUCAUGAAGGUUAUGAACAGAACCAGUGACAAAGGGCAGCCCUGGUGGAGUCCAACUCUCACUGGAAACGGGUCCGACUUACAGCCGGCUACACAGACCAAGCUCGUGCUCAUUUGGUAGAGGGAUUGGACGGCCCUAAAUAGGGAACCCUCCACCCCGUACUCCUGGAGCAUCCCCCACAGGAUUCCCCUGAAUGUAUAUUUAAUUAUAAUAAAAUAUUAUUGGUGUUUUGCAAUGAUCAUAGCUCUCACAGUGAGCUGUUUUCUCCAACACAGGCAUCAAAUGUUGCACAUCAACAACAACACAGGUCUGAUAGAAAUCACAAAGCACUCUCCUCAUAGAUAUAAACAAAUAUGACCAAAAUAGAAAGAAUGUGAGAAAAAAUGUACAGAUGAGUCUUUUACAUGCUUAUGCAGAUGAUAUACUGUAUGACUGUACCUGCCUGUUCACAGGUGCAGGGGUGGAACGGUCAGGGUACAGUGGGCCGUCUUCUGUAACAGACCAGAUCAGAGUCAGAGUUGAAUGCAUAUUUUCAUGUUGGAUUUGUUCUUCAUUACUGGUGACACCCUGACCCUGAUGCAGGGCCAGAAAAUAGAUUUAAAGGGAUAUUCCAGUAUUUUUGACAUGGGGUUAUAUAUCACUAGUGAGUGUACUGGACACAGUGGAUGUAGGUCAGCUCAAUGCCUUUAGUAAGAAAGUAAGAAAGAUUUGUUCACUGUAUCAGUCAGUGCUUCAGAGCCCUGCAGCGAGUUUGUUCGUUGAACGGGCCCCUGCUGCUAAAGUCACAGCAUUGUUCACUGGGUGACACAUGUCAUUCAUUUGCCAAGUCCCGAAGAAAGAAUCACUCCCCUGCCCUGAAAAACUCAACUCUGUGUAUCGCUGUUUGCGAAAACAACACAGCAGCAAGCAGCACGCCCGCUAAACAAGCGCGAGUCAGCGUUCUUUUAUGUCGCGGAAAAGUGGAGAGAUUAAUAAUAAAAAACAUUGCAGCUGUAGCGGGGAUUCUGAUACUUUUAAAUAUAUCAAAUAGCGUCUUGAUUUAAAUUGGCUGAAAUUAAAUCCUUCUUGCAGGAAAGUUUAUACAGGUGUAUUAAUGUAAAGGCACUAUAAUGACCUGUUUUAUCUUAGCCUUAGUGAAUAAACCGGUGUUCAGCAGUAAGUGAACGACACUACAUCCCCUCCCUCCUCUGCCUGAAAAAAGUCAUUCGAAAGUAGUUUGUUUCAUUCACCAUGUCGUUCACUGACUGAUGUUUCCUUCACUGACUGUUUCCUUCACUGACUGAUACAUGUCGUUCACUGACUGUUUUGUUUUACUGACUGUUUCGUUCACUGACUGAUACAUGUUGUUCACAGACUGAAACAUGUCGUUCACUGACUGAUACAUAUCAUUUAUUUACUGUGAGUGAAUCACGAGACUCCGCCCACUAGCUUGCUGGCUGCGUGUCGUUUGUCAGAGUCAGAGGCAGCAGUUCCACUUCGACCGGCAUGCCAAGCAUGCAGCUGAGCUCAAUUGAACUGAAAAAGGAACAAAUCAGGUCUUGGAGCGAUUCAGUUCACGUCGUUCACUCAGCAGUUCAGUACUUUUGAACGAAACGUUCAUGAACGACACAACACUAGGCUAGGCUACAAUUUUCCGUCAGAAGAAGGCCCAUCUGUUUUUGCAUUGCAGUGGGAUCAGCCAACCCGGUCUAUGAUGUAUCAGUCACUGAUUUAUUGUGAAUUUAGGUAUUUCUGCAUCUUAGUUUUCAUAAUGUUGGUGGAAAUGCACUAUGAGAGUGGUUCAUAAGUCCAGUCUUGGAGGCCCACUGUCCUGAAUGUUUUGGAUGUUUCCCUGCUCCAACACACCUGAUUCAAAUGAUUAGCUCGCUAUUAAGCCAUUACAGAGCUUGAUAACGAGCUAAUCAUUUGAAUCAGGUGUGUUGGAGCAGGGAAACAUCCAAAACAUGCAGGACAGUGGGCCUCCAGGACUGGACUUGAGGAACCACGGCACUAUGAUAUACAUAAAAACCUGAAGUACCCCUUUAAAAUGACACCCAGGAAUCACUGUUCAUAUUUUAUGAGUUUAUCUUUUAGUACUUAAAUGUGACCCUACUUACUCUAUCAUUAAAACAAACAGUCUGAAUUCAUUGAAAUGCUGACUUAUUCAUGAGUCUGAAUGUGAAUUUCUGCCCCAAGCAUUAAAGCAGCUGUUACCACUCAGUAAAAAAAAAUUAGGAUUGAUCACAGAGAGAAGCUCUUAAAAGCAUCCCUUUAUAAUUUUUUAUAUUCAGAGAGUGAUUUGAGUGCAGGGUUCAGCUGAUCCAUUAAAACUCCCUGAUGGAUGUUCUUGGUGCACCGCUCGGGUUUUCUAACUAAUUUCAUCACAGAGGAUACAAAGAAAAUGCAGCUUGGUAAAUACGCAUAAGCUAUUAAAUGUGGAAGUUGGUGGGUGUGUUUGUGUGUGUCUGCAGGAAAAUAAAGUAAAGAAAGUAUUUGUUCUCCUUCACCUGUUGCCAAACAGAAAGCGUAUGCCUGAAGGUGAGAGCAGCAUUUUUCCUUCACUCUAACAGAGCACUAACAGGUCUGUGAACUGCUCAGACUAACGGUUUUAUUCUUUAGAGGAAACAGGUCUAAGAUCGGCCUGAUUAUUUCAAUCUCUCUAGACUUUUAUUUUGAAAUACUUCAAAAUACUUUCUUAUAAAAACAGAUGACCUACAUUAUGUGCGGGCUAGGCUGAAUUUUUCCAAUUUUCCCCCUUUGGUGUGUCUGAUAAGAACUUUAUUUUGUGGCAUGUUCUGUGAAAUCUCUCAAAGCUCUAACUGAUGUCAUUUUAUAGGUAUGAUACCCAGCAUCAGGACAGGAUUAUGUUGAACAAUAAAUACAAUUUACCGGACUAGUGAAUUAACUAAACAUUAGACUGGAUAUUUGUUUCUACAUGGUAUUGUUGGUUCUUUAGAGAGUCUUAAAUCACCUGUUUGGCAUCUGACAGCAGUCCAACAUCUGCGGUGUGUGUUGAGCUCUCGGUGAAGCUUCGAUUCAGCUGAUCAACUGCUUUUAAUUGACCCUCUGAAGCAUUGAUUAUUAGCUUUGUUGGCUUCGGUUCAGCUCCAGUAAACCCCAACAUUUUAUUACCGGGAGGCUCACACUCCUCAGUCUGUCACAUUUCAGCAAACAUCAAAUAUCACUCUCAUAUCGAGGUUCUUAUUCAGUCUGCAUGCUUAUUCAUAAAACAACCUUAGAUCAUUCUAUGAUCCUUUUUUUUUUUUUUUCAAAUCAAACAAAUGAGAUUAAUAAUACUUUAUAUAAAAUGCAUCAUUUAAACAUGUGUAAACAUUACUAUUUGCUCUGCAGUUUGUGAAGCAUAAAUACUGCUUUCUUCGUACAGGCCUGGUACCAGAGGCAGCAGAAGCAAAUAAAAGACCCAGUCUACAGUGGAUAUAAAAAGUCUUCACACCCCUGUUCAACUACCAGGUUUUCGUAAUGUAAGAAAAUGACAGCAAGAUAAAUAUUUUCACAACUUUUUUCACCUUUAAUGUGACCUAUAACCUGUACAAUGUAAUUGAAAAACAAACUGAAACCUUCAAAGGGGAAAAAUAUAAAAUAAAAAAACUAAAAUAACCUGGUUGCAUAAAUAUUCACACCCUUAAACUAAUACUUUGUUGCAGCACCUUUGGCUUUUAUUACAGCACUCAGUCUUUUUUGGGUAGGAGUCUAUCAGCGUGGCACAUCUUGAUGGGGCAAUAUUUGCCCACUCUUCUUUGCAAAACCGCUCCAAAUCUGACAGAUUGUGAGGGCAUCUUCUGAGCACAGCCCUCUUCAGAUCACCCCACAAAUGUUCGAUGGGAUUCAGGUCUGGACUCUGGCUGGGCCAUUCCAAAGUCUCAAUCUUAUUCCGGUGAAGCCAUUCUCUUGUUGAUUUAGAUGUGUGCUUUGGGUCAUUGUUGUGCUGAAAGAUGAAGUUCCUCUUCAUCUUCAGCUUUCUGGCAAAAGGCCGAAGGUUUUGUGCCAACACUGACUGGUAUUUUAAACUGUUCAAAAUUCCCUCCACCCUGACUAAGUCACCAGUUCCAGCUGAAGAAAAACAGCCCCAAAGCAUGAUGCUGCCACGACCAUGCUUCACUGUGGGUAUGGUGUUCUUUUGGUGAUGAGCAGUGUUGAUUUUGGCCCAAAUAUACCUUUUACAAUGAUGCCCAAAAAGUUCAACUUUGGUUUCAUCAGACCAUAACACAUUUUCCCACGUGUUUGGGAGAUUUCAGAUGUCUUUUUGCAAAAUUAAACCAGGCUUUAAUGUGUUUCUUUGUAAGAUAAGGCUUCCGUCUUGCCACCCUACCCCAUAGCCCAGACAUAUGAAGACAGCGGGAGAUUGUUGUCACAUGUACUACACAGCCAGUACUUGCCAGAAAUUCCUGCAGCUCCUUCAGUGUUGCUGUCGGCCUCUUGGCAGCCUCCCUGACCAGUUUUCUUCUUGUCUUAUCAUCAAUUUUGGACGGACGUCCUGUUCUUGGUAAUGUCACUGUUGUGCCAUAUUUUCUCCAUUUGAUGAUGACAGUCUUUACUGUGUUCCAUGGUAUAUUUAAUUCCUUGGAAAUUCUUUUGUAGCCUCACCUGACUGAUAUCUUUGAAUAAUGAGAUCCCUCUGAUGCUUUGGAAGCUCUCUGUGGACCAUGACUUGUGCUGGAAGAUGUGUCUACAAAAAUGUCAGGAAAAGCUACUAGAACAGCUGAACUUAAUUUGGGGUUAAUCAGAGGCACUUUAAUUGGUGACAGGUGUGUGCUGACUCCAAUUUAACCUGAGUUUGAAUGUUAUUGGUUAAAUCUGAACCCCCCAGCAGAUCCCCAGUUCUUAAUGGUGUUCACACUUAUGCAACACAUGAUCUCAGUUGUUUAUUUUUACUUCACCUCCCUGAAAGAUUUCUGUUUGUUUUUCAAUUGUGUUGUACAGGUUAUAGGUCACAUUAACGGUGGAAGAAGUUGUGAAUUUAUUUAUCUUCAUGUAACUUUUUUACAUGACAAAAACUUGGCAUUUGAACAGGGGUGUGUAGACUUUUUUUAUCCACUGUAUGUUUAAGAAUCAACUCCUCCCUCUUUGUGGACCAGACUGGAAGUUAGAUCCAUAGUUAUUAAUAAUGAUCUUUAGCUUCACCUCUCCUGUGAUUCAUACAUCUCAUUGAGUAAAAACUUACAAAUCAUCUUCUUCCACUUUGAUCCACUGGAGUCUCCAGCCUGCUUGUUUCUGUUUCAGUUAUUUUCUUUAUGAUUUAUCCAGAUGGAAGGUGUUCAGUCAGCUGAAGUCAGAAACAGCACGGAUUAUAGCUGCAGAAACAAACCUGGAGGAGCGUCAGACAUACUGUGAUUUAUUCAGUAGCAUCAUCGGGUUUAAUCUGUUUGUUUCAUGGAGGAGGUAAAACCCUGCAGGUCUGCAGACUGUGCAGCUCAGAGGAGCAGAUUAAAACCAGACUAAACUGAUGGACGGACUCAGGUACAAGAUAUACAGCUUAAUUCAGACUCGGACCCCAUCACAGCCUUUACUCUGAUCUCCAUUGUUCACAUCUACUGCAUGUGUGUGUUUGUAUGACACAUAGUGUGUUCGUCUUCUUCCUCCUGAAGUGCUGCGGUAAACGAGGAGGAGGAGGAAGACAAAGACACAGGUGGAGAGGAAGAAAGAAAGACAGACGUGGGCCUGAGAAUAAAAGAAAAAAAACUAGAUUUAAACUGAGAGGGAGCUGUGUGUGUGUGUGUGUGUGUGUGUGCGUGUGUGUGUGUGUGUGUGUGUGUGUGUGUGUGUGCGUGUGUGUGUGCGCCCGCGCACCAAUUGAAGAGUGUCAUUAUUCUGAAGGAGGGGAGCUUCAAAGGAGACAUUUUACACAAUACAGUAGCCCUGAUUUAUCUGCACACAAGCACACACAUCCACAAAUACUCUUACACACACACACACACACACACACACACACACACACACUCACACACACACACACACACACACACACACACACACACAGGUCUUACUGAGGAGCUCAUGUGGACUGACUGGUCUUUUUCUGUUUAAGGUUUCGAAACGAAAAAUCAACCAUGAUCCGAACAAAUAAAUGCCGCAAUAUCGCAGGACAAGAAAACGUCACUGAUGUAAAUGUUUGUAUUGACAGGAUACGGGUUCAAAAAAAAUAUUAAAGUCAGAAAUAAUCGCAAGACAAAAACGGUCACGGUGUGAAAGUACCUUCAGACCACAUUGUCAACUGGCAGUGAUGUUAAUUUCUCUUAAAAAACUUGAUAAUAAAUGUGAAAAAUUAUAAAUGUGAAUCAGCAGCUGUGAUCCUACCAUGAACCCAGAUAUAGGAAGUAAAUGCUGAUGACAUUGGGGUAAAUGAUUUUCCUGGAGUCUGUUUAUAUCUAUAAAAAUACACCUCUCACUGUAUUUAAGAUGUAUGGGAAAUGCCUUCAAGAAUGCCAUCUCAAGGUGGAGAUGAUGGAAAGAACAAUCAGCCAGUUUCUCCGAAGGUGGCUUGGGCUCCCCAAGUCACUUAGCAGCAUCGCCCUGUAUAGGCAUUCCACCAUGUUGCAGCUUCCAAUCAGUGGCUUGACAGAGGAGUUCAUGAUCACACGUGCCAGGGAGGUCAUGAUGUACCGUGACUCCUCUGACGCCAAAGUCGCCGCAGCAGGUAUCCAAGUUAAAACCGGGAGGAAGUGGAAGGCACAGGAAGCUGUCGAUAGAGCGGAGGCACAGUAUCCUGGUUGGCAACACAGCAGUGGGUAGGGCGGGACUUGGUAGCUUUCCCAAGCCCCACUACGACAAAGCCUGGGGGAGGGAGAAACACAUAAUGGUGCAGGACCAGAUACGAGCAGAAGCGGAAGAAGGCAGCCGGACGAAGAUGGUCGGUAUGUACCAACAAGGGGCCUGGACAAGGUGGGAGCACUCUUCACAGCGAAAGAUCGCCUGGCAGAAACUCUGGAGACUUGAACCCUAGCACAUAAAGUUCCUCAUCCAGUCCAUGUAUGACGUUCUCCCAAGUCCAACCAACCUGCACCGCUGGGGCUUAGCAGACACCAUGGCAUGCCAGCAUUGCCAGAAGAGAGGCACCUUGGAACACAUCCUCAGUUGCUGUCCAAAGGCACUGGGAGACAGGCGGUAUCGCUGGCAUCAUGACCAGGUCCUCAGGGCCCUGGCAGACACAGUCAGCACAGCAAUCACCAGCAGCAAGUACCAGCACACCCCCAAACAGUCCAUCACCUUCGUCAGAGCUGGGGAGAAUGCACAACAGCAGUCAAGUUCCUCAGGAGGGCUUCUCACCACUGCACAGGACUGGAAGCUCCAAGUCGACCUGGGAAGACAGCCCAAGUUCCCAGAACACAUCUCUGCCACUUCACUCUGCCCAGACAUGGUGCUAAGAUCAGAGUCAACAAAGCAAGUGGUCCUGGUAGAGCUUACUGUCCCAUGGGAAGACUGGAUCGAGGAGGCCAAUGAGCGUAAGAGGACCAAAUACGCUGAGCUGGUUUCGGAGUGCAGGACCAAAGGCUGGAAAGCCCGAUGCCAUCCAGUUGAGGUGGGGUGCCGGGGUUUUGCUGGCCAGUCACUCCACCGAACCCUCAAACUCCUUGGAGUUAAAGGUCAGCUGUGCAAAAGAGCCAUCAAGAACAUCACAGCCUCAAGAUGGCUGUGGAUCCGGAGGAGGGAUCCUUGGAGUACCAGACCACUUGGACACAAGAUGGGGGCUGAUCACCCCUGACUGGGUCGCCUGGGCGAGGGUGUUUGAUGAUCAAAGACCCGAAACAACCAAUGACCUCAGGUUCAUCACUGAUGAUGUGUCCAAGUAGCACCUAGAGGUGUAUUUUAGAACUUAGCUAAAGCACAAAGAAAUUUUCCUCUCCCUCCAGAUCAGCAUGCAGAAUUUGCAGAUGCCCUGAUGAGAAAAGCGUUACUCUGUGUGCAUGUAUAAUGAUUCUCUCUCACCCCACAUUCAUAAAUCCUAUAUUGUGUAUCCUCACACACAUACGGAGAGGAUAAAUCAGCAGGAUCCUCAGGAUUACACUCAUUCUGGUGAUGUAUAAUCUUGUAAGGUGGAAAUAAUAGGCUGCGUGUAAGUACAGCCUUUUUUCCAACACUCUCGCUGUUGUUCUUCUGUUAUGUGCCCACUUUGCUGCUGUAAAUUGCAGACCUGUUUUCUCCAGGUGAUCAUCAAAGUUUCUCCUCUGAGGAUGAUGAAAGGACAAUGAUGUGCAGAAAAAAAAAAAAAAACUGAAAAGUACGGGGUCAGAAACUGGAGUCUCUGUGUAACAAAAGGUUUGAACAAAAUGUUCAGGAUUGGCUUUUACAUAAUGAUGCAGAACGAUUUCACCUCAUGUCAUCAGGUGUCUUUAUUUCCAGUGUGGCUGAAGUCAGUGAUGAUGCUUUUAUGAGUGAUUCAGUGAUCAAACUCAGAGCUGUCAGUGCAGGAUGACGAAGUGUCCUCUGUGUUUCCUUUGAUUCAAACAGGGACUCAUCUGAUUCACUGCUACUAUUUAAAACAAAACACAAAAAAACAGAGACAGCCAUUUUCAAAAAGUUAACGGAUCACUGCCUUUUUUUAAAAGACAGAUUUAGACCUCAAACUGGUGGAAAGGUCAUGAAUCAGGGUGUGUGAUGGACUAUUAGGAUCCUCUCAAACCUACAUCAAGCUACAGCUCAUGUGAAAUCAGGCUCUUUGAGACAUAAAAUGGAAACCUGCAUUCUAUAAUGUUACCUGGGCAAAAUAACUUUUUAUUCAACAGACUACAGCACACAGUCUGAAGUAGUGUUUCUUAACUAAUGGGUUGGGACCCAAAUGUGGGUCAUGGACCUGUUUUCAUUGGGUCGCAGGCAUCUGCCAGGGCAAAAAAAAGAGUAAAUAAAUUGAUUUCUCUGCUUUAACUUUAAAGGGCACUGUUUAUGCAAAAAACUGUCUUUUAUUCACACUCCUUAACUAGUGAUGGGAAAAACAGUUCUUUUGACUGCACUGAAUCUUUAGAAUCCGUUCAUUAAAAGGAUUUGUUUCAAAGAUUCGUUCACUGAAUCAGUCAGUUCUUCAGAGCCCUGUCCUGCCAGUGCAGUACACAAGUUAGUGACACAGCCGCGAGUUUGUUCAUUGAACGAGCCCCUCCCCUCCCCUGCUGCUGAAGUCACAGCAUCGUUCACUUGGUGACACAUGUCAUUUAUUUGCUAAGCCCUGAAGGCAGAAUCACUCCCCUGCCCUCAAAAACUCACCUCUCUGUGUAUCGCUGUCGGCGAAAACAACACAGCAGCAAGCAGCACGCCCGCUAAACAAGCGCGAGUUGUCAUUCUUUUAUAUCGCUGAAAAGUGGAGAGAAUAAAAAUAAAUAAACAUUACAGCUGCAGUAGGGAUUCUGCUACAUUUAAAGAUAUCAAAUAGAAUAUUGUUUUAAAUCGGCUGAAAUUAAAUCCUUCUUGCAGAAAGGUUUAUACACGUGUUUUAAUGUAAGGGCACUAUUAUGCACUCUUUCAUCUUAGCCUUAGUGAAUAAACCAUUGCUCCACAGAUCAACGCUUCACCCCUCCCUCCUGCCUGCAUCAAGUCAAUCGGAAGUAAUUUGUUUCGUUCACCAUGUCAUAUUGACUGACUGAAUCAUUCCAUUCACAUACUGAAACAUGUCGUUCACUGACUGACUGAAUCAUUCUGCUCAUUGACUGAAACAUGACGUUCACUGACUGACUGAAUCAUUCCGUUCACAUACUGAUACAUGUCAUUCACAGACGUUUCGUUCACUGACUGAUACAUGUUGUUCACUGACUGUUUCGUUUACUGACUUAUGCAUGUUGUUCAGAGACUGCUUUGUUCACUGUUUGAUGCAAAUCUUCUAUUCUCUGUGAGUUAAUCAUGAGACUCCUCCUGCCCGCUUGCUCGCUGGCUGGCUGUGUGUUGUUCACCAAAGAGUCAAAGGCAGCAGUUCCACUCCCGACCAGCAUGCCAGGCUCAUGGCUGAGCUAAACUGAACUGACAAAGGAAAGAAUCGGGGCUUGGAGUGAUUCAGUUCACGUCGUUCACUCAGCAGUUCAGUACUUUUGAACGAAACGUUCAUGAAUGACACAACACUAUCCUUAACAACAGGUGGCGAUAAUACCGAGUAAUGCUGAUUCACACUUACCAUUUCACAGCAUAGAAGAACCUGAAGCCCCUAAAAUCCUUUCAGCACCUUUAUGAAGUCCUCCAAGACAUUGCAGAGUCCUCCUCCAACCUGGGACACAGGUCCUUCUAUUAUCUAUGACCAGAGUCUUUGUACAAACAAAGAUCUAAGUCUUCCUCUGUGAUGUGACUCGAGUCCUCCUCCAAGCAGUGACCCAAGUCUUCACUUUGACCCAAGUCCCCCUUUUAUCUGUGGCCCAAGUCCUUGUAUUAGCACUGAUUGAGCUGUGACCUGAGUCCUCUCUAAUCAUGUCUAAGCUUGGAAAGGGGAACUGUGUCACAAUCUUCAAAGAUUUGUACUGAGUCAUCUUUUGAGCAGUGAGCAGUUUUGAGCAAGUUCUUUCUCAAGCUGGAACACAAGUCAUCCUCAGAGAUAAGAUCCAAGUCCCCCUCCUAACCUUGACCCAAACCAAAGUGAUUGAAAUCCCUUACCCAGCUGUUGAUUUUAGUCCUCCCAAGUACUUUUCCAAGCUGUAACUAAGGUCCUCUUCCAAUCCGUCACCCAAGUCCUCCACGCGUGACCGACGCCAACUCCUAAGUCCUCCUCCAAGUCCUUUUCCAGGCACUUGUCAAGUCCUCCUUCAGAUUCCUGACAAAGCUCUGUUCAGAAUCUGUCAGGCUGUCACCCAAUAAAUAUAUUAAUCAUAGACAUGAUUUCUAAAGCAAAGGAUCAAAGUCCCCAAGUUUCCACCUGACGAGGGAUUUACAAAAGAGAUCUAAAAAGAAAAUGAAAAACUCUAAAAGGAAUAAGCUGAGAGGCCCAUGAAGAACGGAGGGUCACUUAAGGUUUGUUUGCAGACAAAGACAUGAAGCUCAUGAUUGGACCCUGGGCGUACUCUCUCAGCAGAGGUAAAUGGAGUAGCUGGACUGUGUUCAUUCAGCAUGCUCUCUGAUCCCCUGAACCCCCCCCCAAAAGCACUUUUUUUUUUACAUCAGAAGUACCACUAAAGAUGAGGGGAAAAAAGAAAGGAGAUCAAGUUGAAGCCUUGCAGAGCUGAUUCUCAAUUAUACGAGGGCUGCAUGAUUUGGGCCAAAAAUAAAAUCCAGAUUUUUUUUCACUGAAAACUUGAUUUUCUAUUUCAGUGACAACUUCAUUAAAUUUCAUUUCAAUAAUGAGUUUUAUCAUCUCUCAAAAUGAAAACACUGAAAACGAUGGAGUGCAUAUGCCAAGCUGGUAAGUGGCUGCAGAGGAAAUGCGCAACAGACAGAAGAAGAGUACAAAGUAGGGCCUGACCAAUUUAUCGGCGAGCAGUUUAAUCGUCCAAUUUUAGCCCGUUUGAGACUAAUCGGUAAUCGGCCAAAACUAGCCGAUUUUCGCCGGUAUUUUCAGAAAUAAUAGGUGGAGAAUAAGAUUCGAUUUCACUUCGAAAAUGUUCCGCCAUUUGAAAAGUUCCCCGACUUAUCCUGUAGAUGGCGCAGCGACCUCAUGACAAUCUUCAUCCACUAACUACCUCAUAGCACAGCAGAGUGACGGAUCUGAAGCAGGCAGCUCAGGGACGCACAGAGGAGAGUGGUCCACCUCAACAGUAAAUAAACCAGUUUGUGAAGUACACAAUAAGUCAACAAGUUUCAGAUCAACCCACUUCACGAUGUUCCCCGCUGUGCUGGUCUCGGUCACGCCGAGUUAACGGUGAAGCACCAUGGAAUAUGCAAGCUAAAGUUAGAGUUAGCCAUCUGCUAUUAGCCUUGCUACACUGUUAGCCGUGCCAGUAACAGUAGAAUAAACAACAUCGUUACAUGAUCGAGCUACUUCUCUUACUGAGGCAGCUGCAUGUCUCCAGAUGAGACCAGACCAGAAAUGAGUAAUGUGAGUUCCAUGUGGAUAGGUUGAUACCACCUUCAGACAGACUUUGCAGCAGGGAGUGGUUUGCUCUAAAUGAAAUUCAGAUAUAAUGCAGAUAAAUACUUCAGAUAAUUGACAAGAUGGCGCCAUGGUGUUCGGCUGGCCGUCUGUCGCUCUGCUCUGUGUUUGCUGUGUGUUUUGUGUUCUACCUUCUCUGUCAUGAGGUGUCGUCUCUCCUCACCUAUGACCGACAUACUCUGCUUGAGAUUGGAGGUUUCUCCAGUAAAGAUCCAUUGGUGAACUUUUCUCCAUGCCUCGAGGGGAUCCCGGCGUUUCUGAGGCGUCCUCCACCCCAUCUUGCCUGGCGGAGAUGCCGGAAAAGACGGGGAAAACGCGGUGGCUACCGGGUCAGGCUGGAGGCUCACCUGAGGUCUGUUUGUGUGUACAACUGUGGCAUUGGUCUGCGCUUCCUGGACUAUCUUCCCGCCCUGGGAUCGAGGAGGAUUGGGGCCCGAUGGAUCCGGCCGGUGCUCCCGGAUGCUAGCUGCGGCACCUGCUCGGCGGACUCCGAUCAGCUGUUGCUACCUGCUAGCUGCUGGCGUUUUCGGACCGGGAGUCGUGGUGUGGACCGUCGGAACCUCCGCACGCUGAGGCGUGCCUCACCAUCGGACACCGUUGAUCUCCAUCUGGCUUUGCUGAAUGUGAGAUCGGUCGCCAACAAGACGUUUCUUCUCAAUGACUUCUUUACCUCACGCAAACUGGAUUUUAUGUUCCUGACUGAAACCUGGCUCCGGAAAGAUGAUGUUGCUCCUUUUUCGGAGCUCCUUCCCCCUGGAUGCAGUUUCCUCAGCUCCCCUCGCACCACCGGCAGAGGUGGAGGACUGGCAUCGGUAUUCAAGUCCACCUUUCACGUCCAGCAGUCUCCAGCUGUCAACAGCUCCAGCUUUGAGCUCCAACUCUUCCAGGUAAAAAUCCCCGCUACUGUUCUCUUUGCUGUGGUCUAUCGACCACCAGCAUUUAACAAAGACUUCAUACGGGACUUUGCAAACUUUGUGUCGGGUAUUAUACUGGAGUAUGAUCACUUCUUAAUUGUCGGUGAUUUUAACGUGCACGUCUGCUGUGAGACCAAACCGCUGGCCAGAGACUUUCUGAAUCUCAUAAAUUCUCUUAAUCUCACGCAGUCUGUUACCGAGCCGACGCAUGAGAAAGGACAUACUCUGGAUCUUGUACUGUCUUAUGGUCUGAAUGUUCAAAUAACCUAAAUCUGUCACACACAUCUUUCCGACCAUCUACCUGUUUUAUUCUCCCUCUCAUUGACUGCACCCCGCACCACGGAGUCCGCGCCGGCUCGCUGCCUCCGCGCUUUUAACUCUUCGACUCAUCUGCAGUUAGCUGUAGCCUGGAAAGACUUGUAUUCUCCUGGUGACUUUGGCGAUCUCAGUGUGGAUGCCUGUAUGAAAAGGUUUGAUACUCUUUGCACUGAGAUCUUAGACUCCAUUGCGCCGAUGACUUUGAAGCAUGUUAAGCCACAGAUCGAGCCGUGGCUAAAUGAGUCCACUCGUGCGCUCAGACGCGCAUGUCGACAGGCGGAGAGAAAGUGGAAGAAAGACAGUCUCCAGAUUUCUCGGGAUCUCCUUCGGGAUUGUCUGGUUAAUUAUCAGCAGGCCGUUAAAGCUGCAAAAGCGGAAUAUUUCUCCACUCUUGUCUCCAAAAAUGCUCAUAAACCCCAGGUUCUUUUCAAUGUUUUUGAUUCACUUGUGAACCCCUGUGAUGCUGUCUCUGUGGAACCAUCUGCUUCUCUGUGCGAGGAGUUUUUGGAAUUUUUUGUUAAUAAGAUGUCUGCUCUGAGAUCUCCACUCCCUCAGCCUGCUCUGGACCCCUCAGCUUCUGCAGCAAGCUCAGCUGUUUUCCACCAGUUUGAGCCUGUUUCUUUUUCUGCACUGGCUGAGAUAGGAGAGCACUUGCGCCCUGCCACCUGCCCAUCUGACAGCAUCCCUUCCCGACUGCUUAAAGAGGUUUUUAGCUCAGUUGGGUCUUUUAUUCUGUUUCUUAUAAAUCUGUCUCUUAUUUCUGGAUGCGUCCCAUCCUCUUUUAAACAUGCCCCAGUGCAGCCUCUACUAAAAAAGAAAACCCUGGAUCCCCUGUCGCUUUCUAACUUUAGGCCAAUUUCUAAGCUCCCAUUUAUUUCCAAGGUUUUAGAAAAAGUUGUUCUUGGCCAAAUACAACAUUUUUUAGAUCAAGCCAAUAUUGGUGAGCUGUUCCAGUCAGGUUUCAAGCCUCUUCAUAGCACUGAAACUGCUCUUUUAAAAGUUUUUAACGAUCUUCUUUUAAAUCUUGACUCGGGUGAUUGUGCCUUCUUAAUGCUUCUGGACCUUACAGCAGCAUUUGAUACGGUGAACCACUCCAUCCUCUUAGCACGCCUUGAGCACACUGUAGGCAUUAAAGGCCCCGCUCUAGAAUGGUUUAAAUCCUACCUUGCCGACAGAUCCUUCAGUGUAAAAUUGGGGCAGUGCUCCUCCUCAGUGGCCCCUCUAACCUGUGGAGUCCCUCAGGGGUCAGUUCUAGGCCCUCUGCUGUUCUCCCUUUACAUGCUUCCCCUGGGGUCAAUAUUUAGGAAGCACGACAUCCACUUUCAUUGCUUUGCUGAUGAUGUGCAGGUGUACCUGCCGCUAAGAGCCCCCUCCAAGGAAUCCCUUCAGGCCGUGUUCAACUGUUUGAGGGAUAUUAAAACAUGGAUGGACCUGAACUUUUUAAAAUUAAACGAAAACAAAACUGAGAUUGUCCUAUUUGGCAACCCUGACACCGUCCAGGUCCUUGCCAGCUCCCUCGGCCCCUUAGUACCCUAUAUAGGUUCCCAGGCCAGAAACCUAGGUGUCAUUGUUGAUGGGGCUCUUAAACUGGACAAGCAGAUCAGCUCCGUUGUGAAGGCUAGUUUUCUUCAGCUUCGGCUACUGGCAAAAAUCAAGCCUUAUCUUAGGAGGCCAGAUCUGGAAAAGGUUAUCCAUGCUUUUAUCUCGUCUCGCCUUGACUACUGUAACUCGCUGUAUUUUGGCAUCAGCCAAACUGAAAUUAACCGCCUACAGCUUGUGCAAAAUGCUGCUGCUCGUCUCCUGACCGGAACCAAGAAACGGGAGCACAUCUCACCGGUGCUCUCCUCACUUCACUGGCUCCCAGUCAAGGUCAGGAUUGAUUUUAAAAUUCUUUUAUUUGCUUUUAAGUCUUUGCACGGGCUGGCCCCAGAAUAUUUAUCCGACCUUGUCAAGGCGCACCAACCCACCAGAUCCCUGAGGUCUGCUGACCGGAUGGUUUUAGAUGUGCCGAGAACCCAGCUUAAAAGCAGAGGGGAUCGGGCAUUCGCAGUUGCUGCUCCCACUCUGUGGAAUGCCCUGCCUCUGUCUGUGCGUUCUGCAACCAGCCUCACCUCCUUCAAAACGCACCUUAAGACCUACCUGUUUACCCUAGCCUUUGGCUGAGUUGUCACCUGCUUUUACUCGCGUACGCUUUUCUUUUAUUGUUGUCAUUGUAUGUUGCACUUUUAAUGUUGCCAUAUUUGUAGCUUUUAUUAUUUUAUGCUUUUCUUUUUCUCCUGUAAAGCACUUUGUCUGGCUUGUCCUAUAAAGGUGCUAUAUAAAUAAACGUGACAUUGACAUUGACAUUGACAUUGCUCUUCAUCCAAAACUUCAUACCAAGCUGUACCAAUUCCACACGACUGACUUGCUCUUGCCCUAUUUAGCCACAAAAUUAUCACCUUCUUUUACAAACGCCAUGUUUGUUUACACUGGUGUGUGUGCGGGAACUGGGAAUGCUCCGAAUGGAGGGUGAGCCUACGGUCGCCUGGAAACACAAGACAUGAUAGAGGGGAAAAUCAAUUUGACAAUUUAAAUUUUUUAACAUCGUCAUAAUCAAACAAUCCGGUUAUGAUUUAAAAUCGAUCAAUUGUGCAGUCCUACACCAUACUCCUUCUUGUUAAAAGGUGGAAAACUUAAAAUAUGUCUGAAGUGUACUCUGUACAACUGUAUACAACAUACAUGUCUGAGAUUAUUUUCUCAUAUCUCUAUUUGAGCCCUUAUCCUGUCAGAGAUUCAUGAUAAACACACAUCUUGGUCGGUGUUAAAGGUGUAUCAGUUAAAUUUAGCCCCAUAGAGUUUACAUCAGAGUUAUUAGCUAAUUUAUGCCAUUUCACACACUUACACUUAGACACCUGUGUGUGUGUGUGUGUGUGCUGUCUGAGAUUUAAGAGCUCAUGAGCAUCAUUCAUCAUGUCACAUACAGAUUAACCUGCUUUAAUUCAGAAGGUGAGCUGAUACUGAAGUGAAGAGGGAAACUCUAAGGACCGUGAGGGGCACAGCGCUGCAAACAGAGUCAGAGCAGUGUCUUCAUGCAUAUUCAGUCAGCUUCAACAGAGAGCUGUGUCUGUCUGUCAGGGGGUGUCAACAAAAACAUUGCAAACCCUUGAGAAUUAAACACUCAUCUAUGUUUCAGCAUUAGAUUUGUGCUACAGCAGGGUGCAGCUCAGUGUUUAAAGGGGACCUGCCAUCAAAAUUUCAUACCCAUUUUUAUAAUUUUUUCAUAAUCCUUGAUGUCCUCUGAUCAUGUUUGCAACAUAAUUUUAGCUGAAAAGUUAUUUGAUGGUUUGUUUUUAGUAUGCCUAAAAAACCAUACUUGUGCUUCCUACCCAUUUGGCUACUGUAAUAACCGUUGUUCUCAUUCAUUAAACGCUUAAAUCUGGGACAUUUUCGGGGACAGCUUUUGCCGGGGACAGGUCAUCCAAUUCAGGGACUAUAUCCAGAAAUCGGGGACAUCUGGUCACCUUAUGCUAAAGGCUAAAAAUGGCAGGUAAUAAACCAUAUAUUUUAGACCCCGAGUCCGAAGAGGAGGUGGAAGUUGAAGAAGAAGCCAGAGAGCUCCAGCGGUGUUUUCAUUCAUUCUGCCCAGCUUUAAGUUCAUUUUCCCGGCAGUGAACCCAAGGAAACACCGGUCAUUUGGAAGAGACCCAUAGCGGGUACAGUGGUAGCUGGGUCUUGCUCUGGCUGGAGAGUGAUGUUGACUGUGAAUGAGUACGAGAACGAGAGAGUGGGCGUGGCUCACUGAGGACGCGCUCGUGAAUAAUAAUGAGCAAGGUCAGCGCGACGUCAGAGGGACCUGCUUUUUCAAUUGGCCUGGUUUACCCGUUUCUUUAUUUUAAACCUUUACAGAUUGCAAACGACGUAACGGUUUGUUUUCACAUUUACAACAUAAUAUGGACCUUAUCUGACACAAAAACACACAAAAUUACAUUUUUGAUGGCAGGUCCCCUUUAAGUCCUGUGCAGAUCCAUUUGUUUCUAAGCAAAAGGUCUGGGUUUGAUUCCAACCUGUAGAUCCUGUCCUGCAUGUCUCUCCUUGCUCUGUGCGUUCCCUCUGAAUAAAGAUACAACAGCCUGAAAACGAAACAGAAAUAUGUAGGUAUCUGUCAGCUGCCCUCUUCAUCUGUUUUUAGUAGGACAAUUCUUGAUAUAUUAUUUUAUUUUGGCACCAACAUUUUGGAUUCCUGAUUGUGAAAUGCUUUUCAUCUUGUUUUAUCUGCAUCCAUGCUCUGACCUCCCCUCAAAAUGAGCUCUGACUGUGUGACGAGUCCAAGUGACAGGAUGACGAUAAUCCUUGGGAGAAGUAAAUAUGGUAUAGUAAUAGAGUAAAUAUCAUUAGAGCUUCACAUAAGUGGCAUUGCAGUAGGCGGAUUCAGUGUGUUUAAAUCCUUAAGUAGCAAACAAUGGUAAGGCAACAGGUAGCCUAAUUAGCAUUAGCCUGUACAUGUCUAAUGUUUAAUCAAACUUUCUGAUAAAAGGCUAAGAGGUGAACUACAAAGUGAAAUUGCAAGGGAAACUAUAAUACAGUGGUUCUCAAGUCCACCCCUCGAGGCCCACUGUUCUGCAUGUUUUGGAUGUUUCCCUGCUCCAACACACCUGAUUCAAAUGAUCAGCUCGUUAGUAAGCCAUUACAGAGCUUGAUAAAAGGGCUGAUGUUUCUGAAACUGCUAUCUGAAACGACUGUACCUCAUUAAUAAUGCCAUUGAACAAAUCCAUGCAGUUAAAUAUAUUAUUCACCAAAUCACAACAAUGGAGCCUCUGCAUUCAGUUAGUACACAAGGCAUAAUGUAUAUGAUACUUUACACGUUUUAGAUCAUAUGAUACACCAGAAGUGUGAUGUUGUCGCUGUAGUUAAAAUGAAGAAAAAGGAAUUAAAUUAGUAGUGAUCUGAAUUUGUAAUACAUUUCUCAAGAUUAAUAAUCUUAAAUUAUGACAUUUAUGCACUCGAAGGGGCACCACCCACCUUUGAUGGCGGGAAAAAUAAAGAAAAACUAAAGUUUAAUUCAGAAAUAAAACAAGUCAAUCUUAAAUUAAUUAAUCUCAUAUCUCAAGCUGAAAUUCUCAUUUCAGGGACUCCACUUCUGGAAGAACACUAACAGACAGGAGCUAUAAUAACUAACUAAUAAUGAUCUGUUAACCACAGGAUAAAUGAUGGUACAACAUACAUGCAAUAAAUGAUGAUAAGAUAAUGAGGAUAAAUAAUAAUAGAUGAAUAACAAAAGAUUUUGAGUCAGGCUAGGAGCACUAAAGUUAACGAUAGUCAGUGAAUAUGCUGUAACAUAUUAAACUACACUAAUUUUGUGUGAGCAUUUUGAGUUAUGCAGCAGUUGGGGUUCCUGUGUUCCUCUCCUCUGUGUGUGUCUCCCUCUCUCUCUCUCUCUGCAGCGCUGGAGGCACGGCGGGAGGCGGGGCUGGCCCGGACCGAUUGCACGCACCUGAUUCUCGUUGGUGUCUGUUACCUGGCUUUAUAUGCCGGUUCCUCUGUCGACUCAGUGCCGGAUGAUUUCCCAGUCAUGCAAUACGUGUCUUGCCACGCCAAGCUCCCCGAUCUCCGCCCAUGUAUCCAGCCUGCCUCUCAGUGUUUGUUUGUGAGCUCUUUUGUUACUUUCCAGAGAUUUUUUCCCUUGAGCAAAGGUGAUUUUGUGUUCGAGUUUUUUCCUCCAGUUGAGAAGAUUUUUUUGGUUAAAUUUUUCUGUUGCACUUCAUCUUUUUCAUCCUUAGUUGUUACUUGCCCCACGUGGCACUAUCAUUUUAACUUUGUUUUUUCAACAGCUAUUUUGCCUUGCUGCAGGGACUAUCUCCUAACCCUGGUUUUGUGUUUUUUAGUGGCAGUCCAAGUUUACUGUGCCUUUUCCCGAAAACGGCGAUUUUCGGUUUGAUCUACUUGAAUCUAUUGUUUAUUGUCAAUAAAUUUGGGCAUUUGCCUCUGCAUUUUUAGAUCCUGGCCUUUGUUCGAUUCGUAACACUUUGGUGUCAAGAUAAAUUUGGAUGUGGAUUUGGAUGAAUCUAGGCUUACUAGAAUAAGUGAAUAUCUGAGUUAUGACUGCAUGAGAGAUGAGACAGCGUCAGCGCUGUUUGGAGCUCUGGAGGUUUGCGUACUUAAGUGAGACUGGUCCUUGGAGAAGAUGGAGCAGGUAACGAAGGUCUGGGGCUACCGGCAGUUUGGCUCAGAAGACAACCAAAGUCAGCCAAAAGAUGGGCCAGGGAUCGCAGCACUCGGGCCUGAAGCAAAAACCAGCGCUUUAUGGAUUUUUUUGGAUGCUCCUUGGGUCUCGCUCAAAACUCUGGCACAGAGGAUGACCUGGGCCCGCUGGGUGGCGUUCAGAGGUGACUUUGAAAUCACGCAGAUGACUCAGAAAAAGAGGCCUGAUGGCCAGUCGAAACUAUUUCAAAAAUGGCUUUGUGAAAUGAAAGAAAAAUCAAUUAGAAGCUUAAUCUUGAAUUGCUAUGCACACAAAAAGUUGAAGUUUCAAAACUUGAACUAAGACGAUGUUAAAGAAAAAUCAACGUGAAUGAACAUGUGGCGUAAAACUUAGAAGACUAAGAAAAAGUAAGACUAAGUUGUAAGAGUCAGAGCUAAAAGAAAACAAAGAAAAGGACAAAGAGAAGAUCCAGGAAACAAGAGGAAGCUGUCAUUAUCAGUCAUUUGUAUUCUUUCUCCAAAGGAAUGCAGUUUUUAUCAGAACAUGGUUGAGCAGAGUUUUAUGACCAAGGUCACUGAAGGUCAAUGUCCUGCUCCUCAGACCUUUCCUUGGGGUCCGUGUGUUCACACACUUCUAAAAUCUAAAAUGGAAAACCUGGGUUGAGGAAUUAAUGUUUACGUAGAUGGUCAGCGAUGGAGUCUGUUUGAAAGGCAAUAAAAACUCUUGUUCUUUGAAUUGACCAAUCGUGAAGAGUCAGAGGUUUGGUCAACCUCCGGUCAGAUCUGGAAAGAUUUAUGUUAUCCUGUGUCCUGGGACCAGAUAAGGAACCUUUCCUGCGAGGAAUGUGUGAGUUUCACACACAGAGUUUUUUUGGUGCUACACCCUCAUCCCUGUAAAACUCAUUUAACAUUCCUGAAUAUAUGAUGUCAAAUAUUACUUCCACACUCGCAAAACCCAAACCCACAAAUCAUGCACCAUGUGUAUUUUUUUUCAUAUCCACUGUAAACCGUGAGCUAUACUGUAGUCUCUAAACUUUUUAUAACUUAAAAACUGUCCUCACUGUCGUCUCCAUGCACUUUGUCCUCAUAAAACAAGUCAGAAUAUCAGAUUCUCUGGCUAAACUCUAUGCAUACACAGUGAGUGUGCAUACAUGGACAGAUCUGGAAGGUGGUUUGUGUGUGACGCUGCCUUACGUAGCGUGUGUGGGUGUGUUGUUGUGACAGCAGGAUGGAGAGCUCGAUUAAAAUGUUACCCAGCUGCUGUAUGAAGAACUUUAAUCACAGGAACUUUGGUUUAUUGGUACAACAAUAGUGUGAUUAUGUGGAUAAAUGGUGAAAAGAGACGAAGGUAUCUGUUGCUAAUUUGUGAUUGAAUCCUUUGAAAGGAAAUGUAUUUAGCAUGCUAAUAAUGUUACUCAGUUAACAUCAGUGACAGCCUUGUAAUAUAAUACCUUUUUUUUAAACAAGUACUUCUGUAUAUUUUAUCUUAUUGUGUACUUUUUUAUUUGCAGCCAUAGUGAUAAUACAGAAACAUUAUUUAUGAGUUUGUAAUAAUUAUGAUAUUCUUGAUCCUCUCCUGAAGAGAAUCAGAUUAAUCUCUGUAGAGUGUGGCUGUCAUACAAGAGGACUCUUCAGGAAAUGAAGGUGCAAAGUGAACAAAGUUAAAGUUUGUCACAGCUGAUAAUUCAGCUAAAACUUCACAGACACCCGCACUGUUAUCUAAAGUACAGUUAGACAGUUUGGACAGUUUGCAUUAAGUGUGCAGAUGUUUUCAGCAGGUGCCUCCUCAGUAAGGUCACCUGGUUUAAGUCCCGUACUUGGUCAGACUGGUCCUCACAGUUCACACUCUGGAUGAUCGUGUACCUUUUGCAUUUGCUGAACAAAUAAUGGAAUUAUUUAUAGAUAAUGAUGGAGAUGAAGCAUUGAUUGGUGCAUGCAACCCUUAAACUCUUAGCUUCAGGUGGAUUUCAUUUUUCAUAACCCCUAGAGAUGAUCUGAUGUGUUUUAUUUUUAUAACUGUACAGGGAAAAAGGGCCCCUGGUUGUCUCCUGUGAUGCAGAGAGGUCAACUGAUCAGAUGAAAUGUAGAUAUUUGCAUUAAACUCUGAGUCACUGUGGAUUUAGUGAAUUCUCUUCAUCACUUUAGGAGAUACUCAACGCUCCCUCCUCCUCAAACACUGUCUUUACUAAUGGGUACAGGGUGGAGGAUUUUAACCUUCAAUGUGGGACUUCAGGGCCUCUGUUGGUUUUAGAUUACUAUAUGUUAAAUGUGUCUUCACAUGGCUAAUUGUCCUCUUUGAAAUUGUUAAAGACUGACUCAUUGUGAAACAUUAGUUAUGAGCUCUUCACCACUUUCUCAAAGAGAGACAGUUUGAAGACAGUCAUCAAGUUAACUUAUUGGGAUUGAUUUUCGUGCCUCGGCAGCGGCGUGGCACGGGUGCAGCAGAAGUCAGGUCCACCACGCUGACAAGGCGUGCCCGAGCACAUUUUGGUAUUUAGGUGAGCGGCACAGCCCGGCUGUAACAAGCAAACCUGAAUUCAGCUUAUAGUGGACACAGUUGAUCAUAUUUAAAGGGAUAUUGCGGUGUAAGUUUAAGUCAUGGUCAGAGUUCUUGUAUAUCUUGUAUGUGCACUGCAGACGUGGUAGUUCUGCCUUAACAUCUCGGUCUGAUUGCAUUUCCAGGAAGCAAUAAUCAUAAAUGUUCUUCCUUGAGCUGCGAAACUCUGCUGUACUCAUUGAUCGACUCGUCAGGGCUCCCCCACAAACAAGCGGCUGCUGGAGAAGAGUGGGUGAGCUGUGUUUAGUCUCUUUGCUAAAGAAAUCGGGCAAAGCUAAAAAGAUGUUUGGUGGCUAGUACUAUAGAUUGGCUUUUUGGUUAAGGUGUGCACGUGGAGACGUAGACUGCUGUGUAUUGCUAUCGCACAGAUGUUGUUGAAGGUUGUAUAACUAGAGAAGCAAAUGGUAGGCAACAUUCAUCUCUCGAGGGGGUGUCUAACUUGGUGUUAUGGUGUGUUUGACCAUGACUUAAUUUUACACCAGAAUAUCCCUUUAACGCAAGAAGGAUCAAAUGAGUGACCUGGAAUCACUGUAAAAGCAAAACAGAAAACUAUCAGAUAAACAGACUGCAGCUUUGAUUAUGUAUCUACAGCUCUGUAGAUGUGGUACAUUCAAGGUGAUAAUGGCACCAUAAUAAGAAAAAGUCAUUUUCACAGCAUUACUGCAGCGGUGUGAGUGUUUGUUUCUGCUGAUCAUCACAGUGUGUCUGAAUGGUUUGCAGAGAGAUGUCUGUGACCUCCUGAUACUCUGUGUGAUGGAUGAGCUGACUAGGACAGAGGUUAGGAACUGAGACAUUUUCACCCUCUCAUUACCCCCAAAACAAAAACAUAUUUAUUCUCUCAGUGAAGGUAAGGUAGGAGAUUCCACAACACCUUUAACUCCAUAUAUAAAAAGCAUACAUUUGACCACACUCCAUGGAACCAGUUUAGAAUAACUUUAACCUAGUAUUUCUCCUGUAAUAAUAUGAUAAUAACUUAUGGCAUUAAAGAGGUGUUUUUCUUUCUUCAUACUCUAAAAAUAAAUUUAAAGUUAAAAUGUUGGAUGUCAGUACUAUACAUGAGCAAACUUUCCGAUUGUCAUGGUGUGCAAGGGCUUUGAAUGGCUUAUUCUAAAAGUAUACAGAACCACAGAGAAGACCCACACAAGGAGAACAUGCAGACAGAAAGGCACAAAUACUUCCUUUUGGGUAGGGAUGAAGAUCUAUAGGCUGACUCUGAGUUCACUUUUUCUGCAAAAAAUAUUCAAAAUACAGAUGUAAAAAGUAUGCGACAAAAAAAGAAAACAUUGGCAUGUACUGAGUCCUUCUCAAAUGAUGGAGGAAAUAAACUGGAGCUUAAUGUUAAACUAGUGCAGUCUGAGUCCUUUCAUUUCUUUGAGUGAAAAGAUCCAAUUUUAGCAAACUUGGACAAUAAUAAUAAUGAUUAAAAAGAUCAUUUUCCUCUUUGGCUCCAAACAAAUAAAGCAAACAAUUAUCAGGCCUGGGCAUUAAACCAAAGAUAUCAAGUGGUAAUCACCUCUUGAUACUUGGCAGCCAAGUUUUUUCUGUUAACCCCACCCCCUCUCCAUUACACACACACUGACACAGUGAGAAAACUGAUUGGAUUACAGAGUUAAAAGUGAAAGUUCAGUAACAGUUUGAACCCAGUCUAGAGUUUGACUGAUUGAUGAAUUCAACCAAUGACAAGGUGGACUGGAUUGGCUGCAAGUACAGUGAAAAUAGUGCAGGUUUUAGAGACAGAUGUACUGCAUUUUGGACAUAAUAAUAAUAUAAUAACAAUAACGUUCAUUCAUAUAGCACCUUACAACAUCCGUAAAGAUGAACAAAGUGCUUUCCACAGUCAAAUACACAAAUACAGGAAAAAAAUACAUGGCAAGUGACAAAUGUCACAGGAUAUCAUAACAAUAAAAAGGUUGGAAAACACAGAAACAAUCAAAUAGAAAAUGGCAAAUGACACUAGAAAUUAAAAGCCUGUUUAAAUCGGUGAGUUUUAAGAUGUGUUUCAAAAGAUAACAGGUCAUUAUUGAUAAUAAGUAGUUCAGGGGGUAGAGAGUUCAAUAGUUUCGUGGCUGCUAUUAAAAAGGCACGAUCCCCCCACCAUUUAAAAUUUGAGAGAGGAAUCUCUAACAGGGGUUGUUCUGAGGACCGGAGGGCUCUACAGUGUCGUCUAAGUUUAAGGCAGCCAGACUGAUAUACUGGAGCAAGACCAUUAUUAGCUUUGAAAACAAACAUUAAAAGUUUAAAAAUGAUCCUGAAUUUAAUUGGGAGCCAAUGCAGGGAGAGAAGAACAGGAGGGAUGUGACUGUGACGGGGGGUGUUGGUUAAAAGGCGUGCUGCAGCAUUUUGUACCAGUUGGAGGCGAGAGAGAGAAGAUUGAUUGAUACCAAUGUAUAAGGAAUUACAAUAAUCUAACCUGGCACUGAUAAAAGCAUGGAUGGCCAAUUUAAGAUCCUUCCUGCUGAGGAGGCGCAAUUGAAAAAAGCUCAACUUGACCACAGAGUCAAUCUGCUGAUCAGAGCUUAGACCAGGGUCCAAAAUAACUCCCAGGUUCCUAACAACAGGCUUCAAAAUAGGAGCAAAGGAAGACAAAUCCAAGCAUCUAAUUACAUCACCACGAGCAUCAGGGGAACCAAAAACAAUACAUUCCGUUUUGGACUGGUUUAAGCGCGGAAAAUUUUGUGACAACUACCGGUCUAUGUCCUCUAAGCACUUAAAGAAAGAAUGUAGUGCAGCUGGAGUAUUUGGAAAAAUUGGUAGAUAAAUCUGGAUGUCAUCAGCAUAACAAUAAAAGUGAAGGUUAUGUCUGGAGAUGAUCUUUCCAAGAGGCAGCAGGUAGAGGGAGAAGAGAAUAGGGCCAAGAAUGGAACCCUGUGGGACCCCACAUGAGAGGGAGGCAAAGGAGGAUGAGAGGUUCCCGAUCAUCACGGAGAAGGACCUGUUUCUGAGGUAUGAGGAGAACCAUUUAAGAACUGGAUCCUGAAUGCCCACAUGGUUGGACAGAUGGGAGAUGAGAAUGGAAUGAUAAAGUUUAAGAGGACUAGUAUCAUUUUUAUUGUCAGCUAAAAGAUUGAAAUUUUUCAAAGAUGGCAUUAUUUUCCAGAAAAGAUUGUAACUGAAUAAAGACAAAUUUCUCUAAGGUUUUAGAUAGAAAGGCCUAAAAUUGGAUAAGACUGAGGGAUCCAGGUGAGGUUUCCUGAGAAGAGGUUCAACCACAGCAUGUUUAAAUGCAUCAGGGAAGGUACCAGAGCUAAGGCAGAUGUUGAUGAAGACAAGGAGGUAAGGUCCGACAGAAUGAAGAAUUUUGAAUGAAGAAUGACAGAAUUUUAGUACCUUAGCAGGAACAAUGUCAGGGAGACAGUUGGUUGCUUUCAGCUUUUGCACAACCUCAGAGAGGAGGGGGAGAGAAACAGGAUCAAAAUGAUUUAAAACAACAGUUGGGUGUGCAGAGGCAGAACUCAGCCCAAUAUCUGCAGUUUGAACGUUGGUGUUUGCAAUGAUUUUUUUCCCUAACAGAAACAAUUUUGUCAACAAAGAAUUUUAAAGAUUCUUCACAAGCAGUUGUUGAGGCAUCUGUGGGACAACUAUUGGUAGGAUUGAUAACAGAGUUUAUGGUCUUGAAUUAUACCCUCGGACGAUUACUACUUGUAGAGAUGAGUCUGGACAGAUGAUUUAGCGUCUCUCACAGCUCUUUGAAAACUGACUAACUUGUCUCUCCAGAUACCCAGCAAAACUGGGGAUUUGUGCUUCUUCCUUUUACAUUCAGCCCGUCUACUGUCUUGCCUGAGAGCACGAGUGUAAUCACUCAGCCACGAAUCAGCCUUGGACUUGGAAGAUUUUACCUUUACAGGAGCUACAGAGUCAAGAAUUUAAGUACAGGCAUAGUCAUAAGGAGGACGUCUAAAUGAAUGAGUUGAUAGUUCUGCUCAUGCCUUAUGACAUGUUCACACAUAAGAACAAUUAUUUUUGUCCUGACAUAUCAGGAAAAAAUGUAUGCAUCAUCACUGCACUCAGGUGACUCUAUGUGCAUGUCUGGUUAAACUGAAUACCAUAGUCAGAUGUACAUUUACGGUUACAGUUUUCCAGGCUAACAGAUAAUUAGUCAGCCAAUCAGAGAGCAGAUCAUAUAAUGAGGUCAUAAGAAAGUUGACCUUUGAAAUGUCACCUUCAGGAGUGUCUGAAGAGGUGUGUAUGUAUCUAAGGGACAGACAGAGGGAGAAACAGAGGCAUAAAGAGAGAGGGAGAAUAUUUUCCUCCCCUCCCUGGUCUAUUAAAGGUCAUUGUCACCGUGACUGUCUUAAAGUUCAGUCAGCUAUGGUCCUCUGCAGUCAUUACUUAAGACGGUGUGGACAGGAAGGUCUGCAGCAAAUUAAAUGAAUUAACUGUCUUCAAACAUGACGCAGCAUCAAAGUGGUAGCAUGGAGGGUAUUUCAGCAUUAAGUUUCAAUGUUCUGCUAAAGAUAUGGAUGGAAAAAAAAAACAACUGCAGCUCAUCUACUGUGAAAAAGACAUGAUGCUCCUUCAUUCAUACACUUCUCCAGGGGAGGAUGUCUCCUCUGUUUUUCCGUUAAAACUAACUCACAGUGUUUGAAAAGUGCAGGUUCCUGCUGCUGCGCUGAAGGUCUCAAGUAUAGGUGUCAACAGGUACAUGCUAGAGGAUCUGAGCUUUGAAGAGUAAUACACACUGCUGCCCUUCAUUAGGUUAAACUGUAUGAAAUCCUCCCGAUGAAACAAACUGUAAUGUCUGAAGUAUUAACCUGCCAGUCAAAUGUCUGGUUCAAGUAAGACAUGUUCAUCCAAAAUAAGUCUAAAAUCUUCUUUAAAGCCCACUGACAGACGAAAGGUCCUUACACACUGGGAACAAUGCAGAUAUAUGACGCGAAAUUACAAAAUAAUUGGAGGCGAAUUUUGAUGUGCCUGACUAUACACAUCAAGCCCAAUGCGAUUUUGCGACUUUCCGGGGGGAAAAAGAUAUGUCCCGGGUGGAAGUGAGAAGACUGACACAACAGCAGGCUGACUGUUUUUCAGUUCUGAUUAGACACUAGUGUUGAGAUGGCUGUCUGUCAUGAUAGCAUGUACUGAGUCGGGGCCAGUACCAGAUAAGCACAUUAAACUGUAAUCCAUAAAUGUAAGGUAACAACCGAGACCUAAUGGUGCUGUGACAGCAAUGUGAUUGAGUUUGAGACAGUGAAAAUACAUAUGGUAUGUUGUAUCUGAACAGGUUAGCUUAUGAGCUAAAGUUACUUAGCACAGAUGAAAGUUAAAACAAAGACGUUUAGCAAACUGUUAAAGCACACAAACCUUUGUUAUAUGAGAAAUCCAACGCUAUGACUCUCCACAAAUUGUCCUUCAGGUUGUUAUCUUUGUAAUAUUUGUGUCUUUUAACAAAAAGCACUCUGUUCUCCGACUCGUAAACAAUAAGCUGGUAAGCCAUGUUGGAUAUACCGGACGUCGCAACAACACGCAAUCUGAUUGGUCAGAAGUGGACACACAGUAUGUGAAACUUUAGAAAAAUCAACUGCGAUAUGAAAAAAUAAAUGCCGAAAUAUCGCAGGACAGGAAAACAUCACUGAUGUGAAUGCUUGUAUUGACAGGAUACAGGUUGAAAAAGAAUAUUGACGUCCGAAAUAAUCGCAAGAAAAAAAUGGUCCCGGUAUGUAAGGACCUUUACACUAAUAUAUCUAAUGUCUGAAAAAUCACAGGCUCAAUCCAUGCCAUCCUUCUUCAGCUAAAUGACUGGUGUCACUCCGUCACUUUGGAACCAAUGACCGAAUGUCAUCUGCAUAACAAUGGAUUUUUGUGGCAUUGUUCCUCGUGAUAUAAAACAUAAAGGUAAAAUUAUCCAGGGAAAAACUGUGUCCUGUUGCAGAGGCUUUGUGUGAGUUAUGUCUUAAGUAAGGGUGUGUUCAGUCCGCUCUAGACUACAGUAUGUACCAGAACUGCAGCGGCUGCAACCAGUGUUGUUAACAGGUGCUGUGCAGUAGAGCGCACCCCUGCCGUAGAAUGCAUCCCCUGACGAGAGCGCAGUUCAAAGUACAUAGCAAGGCGAAAUAAUCCAAGUUUUCAUUACUAUUGGGUGGAUUCAAAAGCGUGUGCCUUUAAUGAUUUCAUUCAGGCUAUUGAGAUAAGCCAAAAACAAUAGCCCUCUGAUUUGGAAUAUUUGUUGUUGCGAAAAUAUAAUGUUCUCUACCUUGACAGCUUACUGUACAGUUAAUACACCCGAGUACACCUCUAUGUGUGCAUUUUUGAGACACAUAAAAACAACGAAAGUUUGCUGCUCCAUUUGAUAUGUAGUCAUGAUCCAAUACUCAUGUUUUUGAUUUAAAUAUGACAUGAUUUUCUUGCACUUUAAGAAUCUAACAGACCUGUAACACACCUCGGGGGCCCCCCAUGGCUUCAUAUUAGUUUUAUUUUUGCUUUAAAUGCUGCUGACAGGAAAUUUAGGACCAUGAGAUAGUUUUGAUAUCUUGCAUUGGUUAUGCAAAUAAAGUUAUUCCACAGAGUUGGAGACCUUAAAUUAGCUGCAGUGAUGAUGAUGGAUCUGGAUGAAGAGCUGCAUCUCAUACCAAAGACCCUUCUCAUGUGAGUAAUGCAUUAUUUCUGUUUGAAUUCUUAUGACACACGUAAAUAUAAAGUUAGGUGACGUUUACAUAUAUAUACCUAAUAUUAUGUCUGUACGUACAGUACAAGGCCAUGCAUACAUUUGUGGUGUUAGCACACAGAUGAGUACUCACAUGGGUGUACACUUGAAUGCAUUUGAACGUGUCAGAGUGUUUGUGUGAUGACUAAUGGCUAAAUGAGGAGCGUGCUGUAUAAACAGAUGAGGACUGCACUCCACUUAGAGCCUGUGGCAGGAGGCCCACACACCUACACACAUCCACCAACAUCAUCACAAACCUGCACGACACACCGACCAGAGACACAAGGUAAAGCAGAGACCCAGAGGGCUUAAAAUGGAUUGCCGGAGCUCCAAUUUGAAAACAAACAGAUUCUGAUUUCAUGAAUAUUUGUUACAAUGUCCAAAUUCCUAUGUAAGCGGGGUUAUACUACACGGUACUACACUGAAGCAUAAAGCUGUGUGUGUGUUUUCGUGUGUGUUCAUGCUCCACAGAGUACUGUGAGGAGAAAAUAAUCCUAUUUGUGUUUGAUGCUGAUUACAACAGCAUGAACACCAACAGCUCAAAUGGUACCAUUUAGACCCUUUGAAUGAAGCUAAUGGAAGUACCAUGCACACACACACACACACACACACACACACACACACACACACACACACACACACACACACACACACAAUAUUAAAUGUGCCUGCACCUGCUGUAGCAUAGUGUUAACCCCCUGUGGGUUUUCUCAUCAGUGUGUGUGUGUGUGUGUGUGUGUGUGUGUGUGUGUGUGUGUGUGUGUGUGUGUGUGUGUGUGUGUGUGUGAGAGAGAGAGAGAGAGAGAGAGAAAGUGAGAGUGAGCGGGAUUGUGGGUUUAUUGAGGUCUGAUGGCACUGACCCAUCAUUACUGUCCUCUACCUAAUCAGCCAUGUUUAUGUGUCUGUGAAUCUGUCCCCCCAUGUUAAAGUCUCUCGUUUUGUGUGUGUGUGUGUGUGUGUGUGUGUGUGUGUGUGUGUGUGUGUGUGUGUGUGUGUGUGUGUUGAAACUGAGAUGUAUGGUUUUCAUUAACUCUGCUGUCAUUCAUUAACACACCUGCUUUCCUUUCUCUGGGUUGGAUAUUAAAAUCCUGUGUGUGACCUGAGCUGAUUAAAGAUUUUGUACUCUUUAUGAGAAGAAGACACUGUCAAACACCACCUACACCUUCACACCUUUACACCUGUACACCUGAGCUAGCUGAUUCAAACUCGGCAUUAGCUUUCGCUGAUGUAGAGUGAAGACAGGGUUGGAGGUCAGGGGUGAUGGAUGUGUCAAAUAAUGCAGAAUUUCCUCCCAAGAGGUUUGGGUUCAACUCCUGUGAGACACCACAGUUACAUGUUAAGAGAAGGGUUUACAGGAGGCCUGUCUGAAUAACAUGUUACUGUAUAAUCCAAAAUAGAUUGUGAAUACUGGCUGUGUUACAUAGAGCAGAAUAUUCUGACUAUAAAUGACUUUCAAGCCCAAAGAUAUAAAAAUAAAAGCACUUUAGUGAAAUUUCACAGAGAUGAAGAGGUGGAGUUUAAACCAUUUCAUAACCCUGUUAAAAUAAAAAUUGUACUUUGUUGUCAACAGUGUUUCUAAAUGUCUCCUGGCUGUAUUUACUCUGUGUAUGCACAACAUCUAGAAAUGAACACCUCAUUUCCACAGUCCUACAAGCACAGAGCCUGGGCGACAAGAUUCCAUUCAUUCCUCUGAGUCCACCUCCAAGAUUUUCACUCUAGGGGCCUGAUCUACUAAGAUCCCAAAUAGCGAGCGCUAAAUUACAUGUGCAAACUAAAAAAUUGCAUGUGCUAUUAGAGGGCGUGUUGCGGCUGAUCUACUAUCAUUGCGUGCGCAACUGAUGACUGGUGUAAAAGUGGUGCGGACCGCCCACUCUAAAGGAGGAUUUUGCGUGCGCUAUCGGCCAUCACCAUGGAGAGUUUAUGAGAACAGAGUGUUUGAAGCCAUGGAGUUGCACAUAACCUAUUGGGGAACUGCAUACAAGGCAAGGCAAGUUUAUUUGUAUAGCACAGUGGUUCUCAAGUCCAGUCCUCGAGGCCCACUGUCCUGCAUGUUUUGGAUGUUUCCCUGCUCCAACACACCUGAUUCAAAUGAUCAGCUCGUUAUCAAGCCAUUACAGAGCUUGAUAACGAGCUGAUUAUUUGAAUCAGGUGUGUUGGAGUUGAUUGGAGUUGACAGAAGGACCUGGGAUCAAACCCCUACCUUCUAAUCGAAGACAAUCAACUCUACCACUGAGCCACAGUUGCCCCCUUACAUUCAGAUUUUUUUGUUCGGUAAGUUUUCUUGUGGUGUCUGGUGUUAGACACCAAUGGUGUCAGCAAUUACAGAUUUAUAGACAGCAUGCACUUACAGAGGUAAAAACAAUGCAUUAGUCUUAAAGCGAUGGUCUACCAUUUGGAAGCUUGGUACUUAUGAAUAACACCGUUUAUAAGGUCGUUAUGGGCCUAUGGUCCGAUCUACACAAUAUAAAGAUCAAAAGAAGGUCCAUCCAAUCCCCAGUCUCCCCUGCUCCACACCAUCCCGCCCAUGGUCCCGCCUCCUCCCCACUACCCCCCUCACGUACAUGUGAUUAGCGAGCUGCACAGCUGCUGAAGCGUAAUGGAGCCGGAGAAGACAAACACCGAAACCAGGAGGCCGCUUCUGUUACCCUCCACAUCGAAGGGAAGGAAACGUAAAGAGGAAAAAGGCUGAAGUAAGGAAGAAAUAUGAGCGAUACAGGUGCCAACGGAGAGUCUACAUUGGAGAAAUGUACGACUGGUGGAAAAAGCUGCAGAGGGAUUUGGGACAGAAAACUGAUGCUGAGACAGCCGAAUUUCUGUUGAACAGAUAAUUACUUUGUUUACUACAGUGUGAGAUGUCUGCUGAAUAACUCUGGUUAGUCUGUGCCUAUGACUGGCUAAUGACUGAAAGUUGUUGGUCGGAACGGGUAGGCUCUGUCAAUAGAUUUUAGCAUAAGUUAGCCACGCAUCUUUAUCAUUGUAAACUGAGCUGGUGAAGACACGCCGAGAAAGGUAAAGCCUCGCCCACAAUCGUCUCUGCUCUGACCGGCUAGCAGUGGCGACGCCAGACCCGCUUCACCCUGCUAAUAUAUGGUUUUGGUCGCACCGGUCCAAUUAAAAUGGCAACCACUGUGUACCACUGCUGAUAUUUUCUGCUGGCCUGCCUCUUGCUCUAUCAGAGGGGGCGUGUUGUUAGGAGGCGACACAAGCUGGUGGGCGGGAUUUUGGAAUACAGAGGGGAGGGGUGAGUGAAGGGGGGGCAGGCUGCGUUUUUCAAAUCUGUCUCAAAAGCCAAACUGGUUUUCAGAUCGUAGACCACAGCUUUAAGAGUUUUAGCAGAAGUGGAAAUGCUACAGACUGCAGUUUCUUUACUGUCCACUAGAGGCUGUCUGCAAAAGCCCCUGAAACUCUGGGUUCAUUCUAAAAACCUUACCUUUACAGCUUUACAGGCGUGUUCAGGUGUGUUAAGAUGCGUCCUCUCUUGUUUUACAAGCCAUAAAUCUUCUCCUGUCACUUUUUUUGAAAGAGUAAAGAGUGCUGGUAACAUCCAGAACUUCUUCCUCUUCCAUUAUUUGAUGGGUUGUGUCAUCAGGAGUGAUCCACCUCCACACACAGCUCACAUUCUGCUAGACAGAAAGUCUCAUGUUCUGAAUUGGAUCCAUUUAAGAGAAAAGCUCUGGGCUGUGUAGUGGAAGCACGGACGUCUACAGAGGGCCAGAUGACACACUGAGGUGUGCUGGUAUAAAGGUUAAGAAAGGAGCCUAAUGGACUAGAGCAGGGGUCGGCAACCCGCGGCUCUGGAGCCGCAUGCGGCUCUUUCUUCCCUAAGCUGCGGCUCCCAGUGGAUUUGGAAAAUAAAUAAUAAAUACUUAAUUGCAUUUUAUUUUAUUUUAUUAUUAUUAUUAUUAUUUGUAAUUCUAAAUUCAAAGAUUAUAAUGCUCUUGUAACAUUAAAUAAACUAUUAAGGCUGCAACAACAAAUCGAUUAAGUAGAUUCGUCGUGACGAAAAAAUCCGUUGCCAACAAAUUCUGUAAUCGAUUCGUCGGGUCUUUAUAUAUGUCCAUGGACACCGGCGUGUAAACAUCAGCAGGACGCACAGAAAAGAAACAGCCAUGGCCGAGGCAGCGGCUGAGAAAAACAUGGACACAACCCAACCCAAAUCCCGACCUAAAACAUCAGUGGUGUGGGAAAACUUCACCAAGACUGAAAAGGAAGGCGUUAAGUGCAACAUUUGCAAAGACCGUUUUGCAUGGCUCGGGAGUACAUCGAUGAUGCGUGAGCACAGGGCUCUCAAGUCUCACGCAUUCAGCGUAUGACACACGCAUUCCCACUCGUUCACACGCUCACACACCACACAUUGUAUUUCUCACGCAUUUAAAUGAACACGGUGAUGUCCACCAAGUUGCAUUUCUUCAACUUUGGAACUGGGGGAAAUCAACCGAGUUCCUCCGAGAGUUCAGAAGCUGCGGGCCACGCACAAGCCAAUCAAAUAAAGUAUAUCUACUGAACAGCCAAUCAAAAAGCAGCAUUGCUGUAUCUGGGUAGAUUUUGAUAUCUUGCGGUUUAACUACAGAAGAAGACAGACACUCGCCGAAAUAGUUCAUUUAUUUCAUAAAUGCAACUCACUACAGUUUUUUAUAUACUUUGUAUAAAGGUUAAAAAAAAAAGAUAUAUGCAAUGUUAUCUUCAUUUUAGAUGACAAAGAGGUUUUGUGGCUCCCUGUGUUUUCUUUUCUGUGGGAAACUGGUCCAAGUGGCUCUUUGAGUGUUUAAGGUUGCCGACCCCUGGACUAGAGUAUCUUGGUUUUAAUCACAUUUUUUUUGUGUGUGUGUGUGUAAACAUAGUCUGACUUCAGAACCGGAGAUAACUCCUUAUUCUGAGUCCACUUUUGCUGCGUCGAGUACUUUGAAAGUUUAAGUGGUAUUGAGGCAUGUGCUGUAUGCUCCUUCACAGGUGUGGUCUAACAGAUGAUGAAGGUGAGAAGAGAAGUCUGUUUUUAAAGCUCUGGCCCUGACUGCACAGACAUCCCAAUCCUAUAUUCCAGUGCACACAUGAUCAAUAGCUCCACAUGCUGUGAACAACACAGAGAUCUGAACAACCAGCAGUUAUUAGUGUUUAUAAAAGCGCUGCAGAUGAGACGUAACAUUACUCUGUGUGUUAAUGAUGUUGAUCUGUGUUUCCUCACUGUACUCAGAGGCUCCAGUCCUUUAAAGUGUAAACCACAGAUCAGUAACACUGAGAAAAGCAGCCUCCAUGUUAACACAGAAGUGAUUACAUCGAGAGAAAGAGAGAGAGAGAAGGGGGGUGGGGGGGCUGUCAGCUAAAAAGUAAAUCACCAUCAUCCCCUGAUGAAGGUAAACAGAGCGCCAUGUGUAUUUGCACCAGUAAAGUGCGAUCUGAUCUAAAAUUUAAGACUUGUCACUUGUGUUCUGAUCCCCUUAAACCACAUCGAUGCAGGUAUGAAAAACCUCAUAAUGGACCUUUUUGAUGUGUCUCCCAAAAGACAGGACAGUUUUUUAUGUGUUUUCACAGUCAGCAUCUCAUCCCUCCUGUCCUACCUUUUAUUCUGAGAUUUUGCUGAUCACUUUUUAAGCUCACCUAAAUGAGCCUAAAUUUUAUAUCAUGUUGACUCUGAGCCAUCAUGCAGCCUUAAAUCCUCAGGUGGUGCCCUCCUUAGGCUUCUUUAAUUGACAUCGAACAAAUGUGGACAACAAGAUCCAACAAUUCCAGCAGACAUCUGGGGCCUCAUGUAUCAACGCUUGCGGCGCAAGAAAACCUUGCGUACGCCAAAAUCGGCGCACACGUCCAGAUUUAUCAUCGCGAAACGAGCGUCGGUUCCAGCGCUAAUCAACGCAAAGUCAGGAGGUGGUGUAGAAAUUGGCGUUGAGCUGGAUAUUUGCGUUGACUGUGAUUCGCACUUUGGCGACGCUGUGUGGCGGUGUUUGGUGACUCACUAUGUGACCAGCGUGCACCACAUCCCCGUGGCCGGGCAGCACGUCGCCCCACAUGACGAACCAGCAGCAGACGGAGGGAUGCGAGCUGAUCCCUGCCGGGCCGCCGUCCUCGCGCGGGAGAAUCUCAUCGCCACAGUGUGAAUGGGUAAGAAGUGAAUACACAGUUCAAUGAGCCAAAUUAAUUUAUUUUCUCCACCAGACGCUCGAGGAAAUUUACGAGCCGGUCCAGCCGCUCGUUGAUCCCCGCGAUCCCCCUGAUGAUUUCUUCCUGCGAUUGCAGGACCCCCUCCGCGAGGACCCUUCCACUGCGUCCGGGUGGUCCAGCGGAAGCGCCGCGGCUGGUGGACGCUCCACCGCUUGUCGGCGCGCUGGUGCUGAUGCUGGUGCUGGGGCCGGGGGCCGGGGUGGCCCGAAUGCCGCUGGUCCUGGCCGACGACUCCGAGCCGGCGGACGGGCUGCCGCGGGCCAGGGUUCCGCAAGCUGGCGACACGGCCGACACAUUAAUUUCUGUGACACAAUAAAAAUAUUAGUUCAUUUCAAUUCCUGCUUCUGUGUAUCUGUUGCGUUUACAUCUCUCUCCACGGUAUCAUAGGUAAUGUAAUCCAGUAUUUCGAGGUCAGUUAUGCACAUAACAGUUGUUUAUUGCAUAAAAAGUUAUCGGAAAAUGAAGUUAAGGGCGAAGUAUAAAUCACGUCUAAAAAUAGACUGAAUCCCGACGUUGAAAUGAAGUAUAAACUUAGACUAGACGUCUAAUAUACGUCUUUUGCUCAGUGGGAUGACAAAGUAUGUGGACAUUUGUGUGACACGCCACUUACCCUAUAAUAAUAAUCGCCACCACCCGCUGCUCAAACGGUGUGAGGGUCUCCUCCCCGGACCCCCACCUGUCUGGCCGGUACUCCUCCGGAGGGCAGCUGUACGCCGCUUGACCUCCACCUUGAGGUCCGACCACUGUUUUUUAAUCUCCGCGGGGGUGCGUGUCUCGGAACCCACCGCAUUCACCCUCUCGCAAACUUUCUCCCACUCCAAGCGUUUUUGUUUUGCACUGACGCCACUGGACAGGCUGCCAAACAAAACACGCUGUCGCUCCUCCACCUCCGCCACCAGCACCUCCACCUCGCACGCCGUAAAUGUAGUUUUUCUUGUCAUUUUGUCUGCGUGCGAGGACAGGGAGACCCUAUUUAAAUAAAUCUGCAUAUUUAUAGGAGGGCGUAACGAGGACGGGCCCAGUCACUCCGACAUCUGCGCUCAAUUCCACGCUGAUUGGGAUUUACCAAGGAAACACACGUGGAUUUCGGCGCCCGCACACAUUGAUACAUACAGAUUUUUUUCAGCGUGACGGACCUUGCGUGCGCUCGUUUCUGGUAUGAGUUCCACGCAAGUGUUGAUACAUGAGGCCCCUGGAGGAGUUUCCAUGGUUGCUGUGCUGGUGCGAAGGCAAAGUCAAGGCUAGGAAAUGGAGAUGUAAGCCCUGUUAAAGCCUGAUAUGUAAGGACCUGCAAUGUAAUAAAAAUAUUGUAAAAAAUGUAAUAAAACCUAAAAUGUAAUAACUGACCCAAUGCUUUGCAAGAUGCUCAGCCCAAAAGGCAAUAACUUUUGUCCAAAACAUUUUUAUUUAUGAGGGAAGGAUGGAGCGGGAGAUCGACAGGUGGAUCGGAGUGGCGUCAGCAGUGAUGCUGAUACUGAUCAGUCGUGGUGAAGAAAGAGCUGAGCUGUAAGGCGAAACUCUCGAUUUACAGGUCGAUCUACGUGCUGAUCCUCAUCAAUGGCGGUGAACUUUGGGUAAUGACCAAAAGAACAAGAUCCUGGAUACAAGCGGCCAAAAUGGGUUUCCUUCGCAGGGUGGUCAGGCUCAGCCUUAGAGAUAGGGUAAGAAGCUCGGACACUCAGGAGGUGCUCAGAGUAGAACCGCUGCUCCUCCACGCCGAGAGGAGUCAGCUGGGGUGGCUCAGGCAUCUGGUUAGGAAGCCUUCUGGACGCCUCCCGUUAGAGGUGUCCUCUUGGCCGGCCCAGGACCAGGUGGAGGGAUUAUAUUUCUCGCCUGGCCUGGGAGCGCCUGGGAAUCCCCACGGAGGAGCUGGUGGAAGUGGCUGGGGUGAGGGCCGUCUGGGCUUCCCUCCUGAAGCUGCUGC
rnacentral:lncRNA from 1 species